UAUCAGUUAGAGGAUACAGAACAAGCAAGGCAUUGACCACAUACAUUAGUCUCCUGUAGCACAGAAUAUUGAAAUAAGACGAGGAAAAUAUUAUAACCAAAAUGUGGGCGGGAACUAGAACACGGAGGCUUCAGAGUUGGAAGUUUUUUCCCAAAGCGGAGGCAACUGCUGAUAAGCUCUGGUGGGGGAUUCCAUAAUCUAGGCAGUGUUGCAGAGAGAGGAAACAGAGAGUGUAGGGUAGAAGGCAUUUGUCAGGGAGAAGUGAUUAGGAGGUUGUGGUAAAAAAUAAGGGAUCCCUACGCAGGGACACUGGAUCCGAGAAAAGCGGCAUUGCAGGAAAAUUAGUGAGGUGGGAUACACAGGGCUGAUUGAAAUGCCAAAGAAGAGGCUACGGAGAAAGGACAGAAGGAGGAAUCAGCUCACUUCAAGGGCUGGAGUCUGAGUUCCUGGGAGGAUGGUCAUGCCAUUGACAGAAAUCUAGAACGCGGGUUAAGGGGCACCUCGUGGUGGGGAUGGAGAGCAUAGUAAAUGUGAUCCAUCCUGCCGAGGUUGAUUUUAAGGAGCUGAUUAGACCUGCCGUGUAAAGUGUCAUUAGACCUGAGCUAGAGCUCAGGAGAGGGGUCAAGCCAUUUUGAAACCAUCAGGAAAGAGGAAAAGCCAUCGGGACUGUGAAACUCUAGGAGGAAAAUGAGAAGGGUCCAGGGGAUGAAGGCAACAGUUUCAGGCCGUUGACUGGAAGGGGAGGCAAAUCGACUCUCCGUGAGGAUGUGGACACUGAGGGUCGGAAAGCUUAAACGACUCAUCGGAGGCCACACAGCUAAUUUGUGACCUGAAGGAAGUCCAACCCGAGUGGGUCUGAUUUGGGAAGCCACUCCCUCCGAUUCCACCAGCCCGCCACCUGGCACCCCGCCUCAGUCCAAGGUCCACCGCACCACCUUCUACCCCUUCCACGUCCUGGAGGCGGCAACUUCUGCUCGACACAGCCCAAACGACUCCAAAAACAGAGAAUUGAAGCCAGGACACUGUGACCGUGUGACCUCAUGUGACCACGAGGAUGACAGAUGAUCACCGGGCAGGCUGAGCAGAAGCACAAGGCAGCCGGUCUCUGCCGGUGUCUUUGAGCUCCUGCGCUAAUCGUCACCAGCCUACCUCUGGACUUCCUUUUGCACCAGAAAAAGCAACCCCUCAACCGCUUUUGUGAAUUUGUCUGUUGAAGCCAAAAGCAAGCCUCACUGAUAGAACGGCAAUUUUUACUUUCAAGAUGCAUAUGGGGAGGGAUGAAGGAAGUAACCACCAUGGCACGUUCCGUUCGAAGUGAUCGCCUCUGAGGGGUGCCUCGGGCUAUCACACUGGUGGCCAGGAUUCUCCUUGGAUCUGGGCACCCGCAGGCCCAGAGGGUGAGAAAGACUGCCUCCUUCUGGAAUGAGAGAGGCAAGUUGAAUGUAGACCUCCCAGAUCACCUCCAGGAUAAGAUGGUCUAUAAGACACAGGAGAGAAUCCAAGCUCAUGCAGGUGGGCUAAAAACCUUGAGCUGAAAGCUUGCCCAUCGUCUAUGGAAAAGCUUCAGAAAGACAGUCACACCUGUCUCAUGGAAGCUUCGAGAGCAUUUUUAGGUAUUUUCAU
rnacentral:lncRNA from 1 species